CUAUGACUCUCUUAAGGUAGCCA
rnacentral:ncRNA from 2 species